rnacentral:rRNA from 1 species
GUGAGGAAUAUUGCGCAAUGGAGGCAACUCUGACGCAGCCAUGCCGCGUGCAGGAAGAAGGCGCUACGCGUUGUAAACUGCUUUUAACCGGGAAGAAACCCCAGGACGUGUCCUGGGUUGACGGUACCGGAGGAAUAAGCACCGGCUAACUUCGUGCCAGCAGCCGCGGUAAUACGAAGGGUGCAAGCGUUAUCCGGAUUCAUUGGGUUUAAAGGGUGCGUAGGCGGAGCGUUAAGUCAGUGGUGAAAUCCUGCAGCUUAACUGUAGACUUGCCAUUGAUACUGGCGCUCUUGAGUGCGCUUGAAGUGGGCGGAAUGUGCCGUGUAGCGGUGAAAUGCUUAGAUAUGAUACAGAACACCGAUAGCGAAGGCAGCUUGCUGAACCAUUAUUGACGCUGAGGCACGAAAGCGUGGGGAGCGAACAGGAUUAGAAACCCGAGUAGUCC